rnacentral:rRNA from 1 species
AUUGAACGCUGGCGGCAGGCCUAACACAUGCAAGUCGAGAGGUAGAGAGGUGCUUGCACCUCUUGAGAGCGGCGGACGGGUGAGUAAUGCCUAGGAAUCUGCCUGGUAGUGGGGGAUAACGCUCGGAAACGGACGCUAAUACAGCAUACGUUCUACGGGAGAAAGCAGGGGACCUUCGGGCCUUGCGCUAUCAGAUGAGCCUAGGUCGGCUUAGCUAGUUGGUGAGGUACUGGCUCACCAAGGCGACGAUCCGUAACUGGUCCGAGAGGCUGAUCGGCCACACUGGAACUGAGACACGGUCCAGACUCCUACGUGAGGCAGCAGGGAGUAAUAUUGGACAAUGCGCGAAAGCCUGAUCCAGCCAUGAGGCGUGUGUGAAGAGGGUCUUCGGAUUGUAAAGCACUUUAAGUUGGGAGGAAGGGUCGUUACCUAAUACUUGACGAUUUUUGCAUUACCGACAGAAUAAGCGCCGGCUAACUCUGUUCCAGCCGCCGCGGUAA